rnacentral:rRNA from 1 species
GACGAACGCUGGCGGCGUGCUUAACACAUGCAAGUCGAACGGAAAGGCCCUGCUUUUGUGGGGUGCUCGAGUGGCGAACGGGUGAGUAACACGUGAGUAACCUGCCCUUGACUUUGGGAUAACUUCAGGAAACUGGGGCUAAUACCGGAUAGGAGCUCCUGCUGCAUGGUGGGGGUUGGAAAGUUUCGGCGGUUGGGGAUGGACUCGCGGCUUAUCAGCUUGUUGGUGGGGUAGUGGCUUACCAAGGCUUUGACGGGUAGCCGGCCUGAGAGGGUGACCGGCCACAUUGGGACUGUGAGACGGCCCAGACUCCUAUGCGGGGCAGCGGUGGGGAGUAUUGCACAAUGGGCGGAAGCCUGAUACAGCGACGCCGCGUGCGGGAUGACGGCCUUCGGGUUGUGAACCGCUUUCGCCUGUGACGAGGCGUGAGUGACGGUAAUGGGUAAAGAAGCACCGGCUAACUACGUG